rnacentral:rRNA from 1 species
UGCAAGUCGAGCGAAGCUUUUCAGUAGUUUACUACAGAAAAUGACUGAGCGGCGAACGGGUGAGUAACGCGUGAGCAACCUACCUUAGUUACCGGGAUAGCCCGAGGAAACCCGGAUUAAUACCGGAUAUUCUUAUUUAAUCACAUGAUUUUUUAAGGAAAGGUCAGCCGAACUAAGAUGGGCUCGCGUUCUAUCAGCUAGUUGGUAGGGUAAUGGCCUACCAAGGCUACGACGGAUAGCUGGUCUGAGAGGACGAUCAGCCACACUGGGACUGAGACACGGCCCAGACUCCUACGGGAGGCUGCAGCAGGGAAUAUUGCGCAAUGAGCGAAAGCUUGACGCAGCGACACCGCGUGUGGGAUGACGGAUCUAGGUUUGUAAACCACUUUCAGGAGGGAAGAAAAUGACGGUACCUCCACAAGAAGCCCCGGCCAACUACGUGCCAGCAGCCGCGGUAAUACGUAGGGGGCGAGCGUUGUCCGGAUUUAUUGGGCGUAAAGAGCUCGUAGGCGGUUCAACAAGUCGGUCGUGAAAGUUCAGGGCUCAACCCUGAAAUGUCGAUCGAUACUGUUGUGACUAGGAUACGGUAGAGGUGAGUGGAAUUCCGAGUGUAGCGGUGAAAUGCGUAGAUAUUCGGAGGAACACCAAUUGCGAAGGCAGCUCACUGGGCCGCUAUCGACGCUGAGGAGCGAAAGCUAGGGGAGCAAACAGGAUUAGAUACCCUGGUAGUCCUAGCUGUAAACGAUGGAUACUAGACGUAAGAAUUGG